rnacentral:lncRNA from 1 species
UUUUAAAAGUCUGUCUAAAGCUUAUAUGAAAUAAAAACAUUAUUGGUUUAAAAGAUGGCUGUACAAGGCAGCUUCCAGAGACCGCUACCAAUCACUGUGGACAUAGUUGUAAUCAAUGUACAUAGUCUCACAAGACCAUCAUUGGAAACCAACUGAUAUACAAUCAGAGAGAAAACAAAAUCAAUUAUUUCAUAGUAUAUUCAAAUUCAAGCUUCAAACAAAUCGAAGAAACCUGAAGUAUACAAAUGUCAUCUUACACCUACUUCAUAAUCCUUUUCCUCUUCCCAUCACUCCUCACAGUUUGCGCUCAAAACCAUACUUAUGUUUACCAUGACUGUCCGAAUACGACAACUUACUCAAGCAACAGCACUUACUCCACCAAUCUCAGAACCCUUUUGUCUUCUCUCUCUUCUCCCAACGCUUCCUACUCCACCGGGUUUCAAAACGCCUCAUCGGGACAAGCCCCCGACAGAGUCGCCGGACUUUUCCUCUGCCGAGGAGACGUCUCGCCAAAAUAUAUGAUGUGGCAAAUUUAAUAUUGAAACUUAUCAACGGAUGUUGAAAAAAAAAGGAUUAUUCUUGUAUGACUUGGUAACUAUUGAUUAGAUCAAUAUUCAGAAAGAAAAAUAGUUGCAUUAGACUAAUUUUUUUUUCAUCUCAAUUAUUUGACAUCAAUUAUUUCAUAAUAAUUAUAGUUAUAUAUAAAAAAAUUAUAUCAAAAUUCAUCAUUUUUCAUACUCUAUUAAUAGAUACUUGUUUCAUUUCAUUUGAAUACAAAAAAUAGUUAUUUAUAAUAUGUAAUCACAAAAUCAUAAAAUAAAAAGUACGAAUAAAGUUGGUGGGACGUAGUGGGUUUGAUUGGAUGAAGUCGUAGUUUUCUAUUUUUUGCUUUAAGAUUAGGUUUUAAAUUUUUAGCUUUGGCUUUAAUUUAUUUUGCUAUAGAAAUUUUCUCAGAUCACUAAAUAAAGGGGAUGAUUGGUUGGGGCUGUAGAUGCUCUGGACAUCUAAAAUUUAGUCUACAGCUAUAUAUAUGUCAACCAGUCGAGCUUUGCUUUUCUUAAAAAACUCACGGCAAAAAAAUCUCUGCAAAAUCAAAAUAUGGCUAUAGGUAGCUUUAUUUCCAGAGUAAAAAACUAGUGAUUUAGAAAUCUACAGCAAGGAAAAGUACAGCAAAUAAAUCUACAGAUUAAAUUCUAAAACAAAAAAUACAAAAAUACAACAUUUACCAAUCAUCCCAAAAAUUCUAGAGAAAGUAAUUUCUAAAGCUAACAUAUUUCUUUUUUAAAUGUUUUGGCUUUCUAUUCGAUUUUAAAAGUCUGUCUAAAGCUUAUAUGAAAUAAAAACAUUAUUGGUUUAAAAGAUGGCUGUACAAGGCAGCUUCCAGAGACCGCUACCAAUCACUGUGGACAUAGUUGUAAUCAAUGUACAUAGUCUCACAAGACCAUCAUUGGAAACCAACUGAUAUACAAUCAGAGAGAAAACAAAAUCAAUUAUUUCAUAGUAUAUUCAAAUUCAAGCUUCAAACAAAUCGAAGAAACCUGAAGUAUACAAAUGUCAUCUUACACCUACUUCAUAAUCCUUUUCCUCUUCCCAUCACUCCUCACAGUUUGCGCUCAAAACCAUACUUAUGUUUACCAUGACUGUCCGAAUACGACAACUUACUCAAGCAACAGCACUUACUCCACCAAUCUCAGAACCCUUUUGUCUUCUCUCUCUUCUCCCAACGCUUCCUACUCCACCGGGUUUCAAAACGCCUCAUCGGGACAAGCCCCCGACAGAGUCGCCGGACUUUUCCUCUGCCGAGGAGACGUCUCGCCGGAAGUUUGCCGCAGCUGCGUCGCCUUCUCCGUCA